GACGAACGCUGGCGGCGUGCCUAAUACAUGCAAGUAGAACGCUGAAGAGAGGAGCUUACUCUUCUUGGAUGAGUUGCGAACGGGUGAGUAACGCGUAGGUAACCUGCCUUGUAGCGGGGGAUAACUAUUGGAAACGAUAGCUAAUACCGCAUAACAAUGGAUGACACAUGUCAUUUAUUUGAAAGGGGCAAUUGCUCCACUACAAGAUGGACCUGCGUUGUAUUAGCUAGUAGGUGAGGUAAUGGCUCACCUAGGCGACGAUACAUAGCCGACCUGAGAGGGUGAUCGGCCACACUGGGACUGAGACACGGCCCAGACUCCUACGGGAGGCAGCAGUAGGGAAUCUUCGGCAAUGGGGGCAACCCUGACCGAGCAACGCCGCGUGAGUGAAGAAGGGUUUCGGAUCGUAAAGCUCUGUUGUAAGUCAAGAACGGGUGUGAGAGUGGAAAGUUCACACUGUGACGGUAGCUUACCAGAAAGGGACGGCUAACUACGUG
rnacentral:rRNA from 1 species